AACAAUGUUCAACGUGCAAAUACUCAAGGUGAACCCUUAAAUGGCGGGCGUACACAAAAUGCUAGCGUUGCUUCACCAGCCAGUGUUGCUUCACCAGCUAGUGUUGCUUCACCAGCUGCUGUUGCUUCACCGGCUAAGGUUGCUUCACCUGCUAGGGUUGCUUCACCACCAAUUGAUAAGGAAACUCCAGCUGGAAUUCCUGGGUGUCUCAAGAACAAUUACCAUCGCGCCGAUGGGCAAAACUGUGGCAACUUCCUCAC
rnacentral:lncRNA from 1 species